GCAACGACGAUGCGCUGCGGCAGCUGGAGGCCGAGCUGGGCGCCGGGCGGUCUGACUUGCGCGUCGUGCGGGUGCCCGCAGACCUGGGCGCCGAGGCUGGCUUGCAGCCCGCUGCUUGGGGCCUUGCGUCAGCUCCCCAGGACCGAGGAGCUGCAGCAACUGCUCUUCAUCAACAACGCGGGCUCUCCUGGGGAUGUGUCCAAAGGCUUCGUGGACCUGGGUGACUCCACUCAAGUGAACAAAGACUGGGCGCUGAACUUGACCUCCAUGCUCUCUCUGCCGGACUUGCAGCGUCUCGAAGGCCUUACCAACCAGUCCUGGCCUCAACAGAACUGUGGUUAACAUCUCAACCCUCUGUGCCCUGCAGCCCUUCAAAGGCUGAGCGCUGUGCUGUGCGGGAAAGGCUGCUGGUAACAUUCUGUUGAGGUCCUGGCGUCGGAGGAACCUAAUGUGAGGGUGCCGAAUUAGGCCCCAGGUCCUGUGGACACAGACGUGUCCCGGAGGUUAGCCCGGUAGACCUCCAUGGACCCAGACAUGCGAAAAGGCUGCAGGAGCUGAAGGCAAAGGGAGAGCUGGUGGAUUGCAGGGUGUCAGCCCAGAAACGGCUGAGCUCGCUGCAAAAGGGGGUGUUCAAGCCUGGAGCCCACGUGGACUUCUACUAUAAAUAAGCCCAUGUCUUUGGCUUCCUGAACCUUUCUGCCCCCACUUUCAGACACACCCCCAGAGCCCCGUGGCUCCCCACACCCUGCCAUGGUGGCAGUCCUGCCUUACACAGAUAAACACUCAUGUCUACUGUCCUACCUUCACACAUAGCCUGCUGUGAUGAGCUUCCAGGUCGCUGGCCUUACCAGUUGUCGAGAGUCUGGAUGUGGCACCCUGGAUUAUGAGGAGGCUUAGGAGAGAGGUUAUGGGUAUUCAUGUCUCUAUCCCCAGGAAUAGAAUUUAAGGGAUGGGAAGAGCAGGAAAAGAAGCUGAAACACACAAGAGAAGAGGUUGUGUCUCCUGCUCAUAGCUAGUCCAUGGGGAGAGGGAAGAGUGACCUGAGUCAAAUAGGAGAACGCAUGCAGAUUCGCAGAUGGCCUGGUAGGGAGGAAGAGCAGAGGGUACAAGUCCCCGCUCACACAGAUGCCCCUUGCUGAGGGGAGCAGCAGCUUCUGUUGAACUUUGUGUCCUCACUCUGAUGUCUACUUCCUCCAGAAUCCACCACCCCUUCCCCAGGCUGGGAGAAGGGGCCGUUGGGUGUCUAUGUACAUGGCCAAGGCAGAUACAAAUAAAAUUAAAAAAAAAAAAAAAAAAGGGAGAGGGUUACUUAACCUUUUCAGUUAAGGCAACAUUGCUACCUUUCAAGGAGUGAGUGAUUGAAGUCAAGAAAGAAGCCCUGCUUGGGAUUAGAGAAACUGAAAAGAAAUACGAUGACUCAUUAAAACAGUUUGAAAACUAUAGAAAGGUCAACAAUUUAAUGCAAAUAUUAAUUAAAUGCCUAGAAAAAGAAAAGGGAGGCAAAAGUGAGUGAAGAAGAACAUCUAUUGCCCUUCAUAUGUGUCAACCACUGAGCUACGAGCUUUACCUAUAUGAAUUGAAUUGAUUUUCAUAACCCUAUAAGGCAAGUACUAUUUUUAUCCCCAUUUUACAUAUGAAGAAAUCGUGCCACAGAGAAGUUUAAUAACCUGCCCAAGGUAACACACAGUAGAGCAGUCAGGAUUCCAAUUCACUAACUACUGCUUUAUCCUCUUCCUUGGCACUACAUACCAGUGACUGCUGGGGCAACAAAAAUGUAGAAAACAUGGUCCCAGUCUUUGGAGGACUCAUGGGGAAACACCAUACAAUAUUCUGACUUUGGGAAAGUGACCUAAUAUUUCUAAUUAAAAUGGAAAUUAAUAACCCCUU